UACGUAGGGCGCAAGCGUUGUCCGGAAUUACUGGGCGUAAAGGGCUCGUAGGCGGCCAACUAAGUCGGACGUGAAAUCCCCAGGCUCAACCUGGGAACUGCGUCCGAUACUGGAUGGCUUGAAUCCGGGAGAGGGAUGCAGAAUUCCAGGUGUAGCGGUGAAAUGCGUAGAUAUCUGGAGGAAUACCGGUGGCGAAGGCGGCAUCCUGGACCGGCAUUGACGCUGAGGAGCGAAAGCCAGGGGAGCAAACGGG
rnacentral:rRNA from 1 species